rnacentral:rRNA from 1 species
UACGAAGGGGGCUAGCGUUGCUCGGAAUUACUGGGCGUAAAGGGAGCGUAGGCGGAUAGUUAAGUCAGAGGUGAAAGCCCCAGGGCUCAACCUUGGAAUUGCCUUUGAUACUGGCUAUCUUGAGUAUGGGAGAGGUAAGCGGAACUCCGAGUGUAGAGGUGAAAUUCGUAGAUAUUCGGAAGAACACCAGUGGCGAAGGCGGCUUACUGGCCCAUUACUGACGCUGAGGCUCGAAAGCGUGGGGAGCAAACAGG